rnacentral:rRNA from 1 species
UAGGGGAAUCUUCCACAAUGGACGAAAAGUCUGAUGGAGCAACGCCGCGUGAGUGAAGAAGGGUUUCGGCUCGUAAAGCUCUGUUGGUAGUGAAGAAAGAUAGAGGUAGUAACUGGCCUUUAUUUGACGGUAAUUACUUAGAAAGUCACGGCUAACUACGUGCC